AUGAAAGGCAGGCACAACUCAGUAAUAAGUAGGGUUAAAACAAACCAGCCUAAUGUGCAAGAUCUCGGCUGCAUCUGCCACCUAGUCCAGCUUGCCACUGGUUGUGGCAUGAAGGCUGCAAAGCUGCCUGUGGAAGACAUACUGGUGGGCAUUUACACCCACUUUGACAAAAGUGCAAAGAGAUGUGAACUCUACAAGGAAUUUGUAGAGUUUACGGAUUCUGACAGCCUGAAACUGCUUAGAUAUUGCAGCACCAGAUGGCUCAGUCUGCUGAGCUGUAUAGAGAGGGUUCUCAACCAGUGGGCUGCUCUUCAGGCAUAUUUUAACAGUCACGAGGGGGUGGAGACGAACACCAAAAUUAGGGAUCUGUCAAAACAUCUCAACGAUCCAUUGAUCAAGGCGUACUUCAAGUUCCUCAGUGUUGCCCUUAAGCCUCUAUCAGACUUUAAUAUUGCCUUUCAGUCAGAGCAAGUACAGAUACACAAGCUGGACAAAGAGAUGACCAGGCUUAUCAAGCGGAUGCUGGGGUGCCUUGUUCCAGCAAAGGCGAUUAUGGAUGUCCCUCUCAAAGAAGUGAACUUUGGAGAGGGACAUCAAUUGGCAGACGAGGACCUCUUCAUUGGAGGGGACACAAAGGCGUUCAUUAGAACUGCAGAGUUCCCUGUUCCAACUAAGAACAAAUUCUUUCAAACUGUGAGAGCUUUCUACGAAGCAGUUUUGCGCAAGAUGUUUGCCUGUUUUCCAAUCGAUUCCCAGCUACUGAAGGACUUGAGAAUACUAGACCCUGGAUCUCGAAUGGAGAUAAGUCCAGACACUGGUAGGGAUAACAUGUAUUUUGUAUGGUAAAUCUGUGAUGAGUGAAGGGCAAUUUCUAAAUGUUUUUAACUAAGAAAUCAGAGAUAGUAAGCUGGCAGGAUCUACCUUGAGGGUUAUGAUAAAUGAAUUUGUUUCCUUUUCAGUGUCGAGGCUAGGUGCCCUGUUCCCACAGUUUCUCAUGAAUGAGGAUAGGUUUAGAGAGGAGCUAAUUGAUUUUCAAGUCACUGAUAGCAAAGAUCUCCCACAAGAACCAAGAAUAGACAGGUUCUGGGGCCUUGUAGGAAAGAAUGACAGCUUCACUGAGUUGGCGAGACUUGCAAAGACACUGUUAUGUAUACCACACAGUAACGCAAGCUCAGAAAGGGCGUUUAGCAUGGUGAGCAAGAUUGUUACAUCCAACCGAAUGGCACUGGAUUCCAGCACUGUGUGUGCUUUGCUAUCUUGUAAAAUAAAUCACACUGGUCAGGUUCA
ensembl:lncRNA